rnacentral:lncRNA from 1 species
GGGAAACAACUCCUGGCCUUCGGCACGGUGCACUGCAGGAGCGGCGGCUACUACUAGGGAGCCCACCCUCGCAGGGGGCCUUUGGACUGGUCCCUAGGGCGCAGUGUUUGGAGUGGAAGAGGAAAGUGGUUAGCUAGCCACCAAACCUCCUGCCCCCUCACACACCCGGGAUCCCAGUUCUGAAUUUGGUUCUCGCUCAUGUGUUUUGUGAAAAUGACAGUGUCCUGAAACCAUGGAAGACUGUGUGCUCGCCGAAAGUCUGGGACAAGUUUAAGGAGAGAGCUUUCCCUCCUCCACUCAGAGCAGAAAAUGAACAAAUCCCAGUUGUAGGCCAUCGUUGAAGGAAAUCAAGGCAGGAACUCAAACUCCCACAGGAGCGUGCAUGCAGAACUAAAGCCGAGACUGUGGAGAACGCUGUCCACUCUCUUCAUCUCCAUGGCUUGCGCAGCCUGCUUUCUGUUACAUCCAGAACUACCUGCCCAAGGGUGUCCCAGCCCACAGCAGACUGCACCCUCCUAUAUGAAGCUCUAAUCGGGCCAGUCUGCUGGGCUCGUUUUCUCAGCUGAGAUUCCCUUUUUCUAAGUGACCCUGUCUUGUGUCAAGUUGGAAAAAAACCUAACAACAUAGCUCUUUCAGUAUAUACUCAGAAGUGGUAUAGCUGGGUCAGUGUUAGGUCUCUUUUUAGUUGCAUAUUUAAAAUUAAUUUAUUUUCAUGUGUUUGUUGAUUGGGUUGUUUGGGGUUUUGUGUUUUUGAGUUCUUUUAUUUUCUGUGUAUAAAUCCUUUGUCAUAUAUUAUCUAGUAAAGAUUUUUUUCUCAUUCUG